UACGGAGGAUGCAAGCGUUAUCCGGAAUUAUUGGGCGUAAAGCGUCCGCAGGUGGUUUUGCAAGUUUGCUGUCAAAGCGCGGAGCUUAACUUCGUACGGGCAGUGAAAACUGCAAGACUAGAGUUUGGUAGGGGUCACGGGAAUUCCCAGUGUAGCGGUGAAAUGCGUAGAGAUUGGGAAGAACACCAGCGGCGAAAGCGCGUGACUGGACCUGAACUGACACUCAUGGACGAAAGCUAGGGGAGCGAAAGGG
rnacentral:rRNA from 1 species